AGCAUUAAAUACUGAUGUAAUUGAGAGAAAAGGAUGACCUUGAGGUCGCAAGCUUGAAGGAUUCUUCAACAACGGUGGUAAAGAAAGAAAACAAUGUAGCAACUUCACCAACGGCAAUUGCCACCUUAACUGAUACUACACUGGCAGUGACUCCCGGUAUCAACAGUGAAGACGCCACAUCAGAAGAUGAAAGCCAGUCGCAAACAAGCAAUGGCAGUUUAUGGUGAUGGAAAACAAGCACGAAGUUUUCAAUACGUCUUUGACUUGGUAAUUUUAUGGAGCUAUACAUAUUGAUGGUUGUUUGGGGGGAGUUAAGG